rnacentral:ncRNA from 1 species
CAUGAUUAGAUUAGAUUAGUUUAUCUAGGAUUGUUUAGAGGGUAGCCGCAGUCGCCCCAACUCUGACUUGCAAAGCAUUUUUUUGUUUUGUAAGUAGGGCGAGAAACAACAAGCAUUUUGUUGGAAACUUUAAUUUUUUAAUAAAUUAGAGAACUGU